CUUAGGCUUUAGCUGAUAGGGGUGUCCUGGCGGCUAUCCACUGUCUUAGGUUAUUGUUUAACUGAAACAAUGAGUUUUAGUGUAAGGCUUAGUUUUUUAUUAACCUUGAAGGUUGCCUUCUUACUGAGAGCACAUAGUGGCCAAAAGUCUAUGGAAAAAAGGAUGCACUGAUUGUUUCUGCUUUGUUUCUAUGCACAUGAUAUUGUCAUCUCACGGCUUGCUAAAAAAGUAUAAAGAACCUGCUGAGUCUCUCGGCAGAAGAUACUUGCACCUCAUCCAGUGUCAGUGUCUCCUCACUGCCUCAUCCCCUUCCCCUCAGUCCUUUUCGCUGCACCUAGACCGUCUUUUCCUUUCAAGGACUUCAGACCUGACAUUUUGCUGAAAGCUGGUCUGCGGCAAUCCCCCAUUCCACAUGGCUCCUUAGAGGGAGCAAAGAAUAAAGUUUUGCCUUACCCUAGGCCUUAGCCUUCCUUUACCUUGUCAAUAAGAUGUUCUCAAGGCAUGGUCCUGUUUUGAGAAGGCAGUGGGUGGGGCGUUCUGAGCUCGGGUGCCUGAAUGUCUUAGGAGGCCUGUCUUCAGGAUAAUGCCAGGUUUGGGAUGAGCUAGCCACCCGGAUGGUGGAGGUUUCCAUUUUCGUAAUAUUUUAAUGUUAUUUAGAUAUCCAAGCACUCCAGGAAGCUUCUAGGGAGCAGGAAAUGUCCUCUUGGUCUUGGUCAGCGGGGCAGUGGUUAUCAGGUUUAUAAAACGUAAAAACCAAUUUUCAUGCACUUGAUUAUAAAUAAGAUAUAUUUCAGUUUAAAGCGUUAUUAAAAACAUAUACCUUUAAAAUGUUCAGUGCCAGGGAUAAAACCUCACACUGUUCUCCUCAUGACUUUGGACUGUCACUGCAAAAACAUUGACUUCUCCUAAGAGAAAAUUAGAACUUAGAGAAGAAAUGGAUAUUUAAUUGCAAGAUAUUUUGAUCGGAGACAGUUAUUUCCAUUUAGGACAUGACUUCCAUGACCGUCCUUGGACAACCUGCUGACCAUGCUGCAGGCCACUCUUGGCUGGAGCCUGCAGCCUGCAUGGGGCAGUCCCGAUGCCAGUGCACAUGGCGGGGAGCCUAGCGGCAGCUGGCUUUUGCUCUCCUCCCCACCCAUGCACCCUGGGCUCUUGAAACAGAAGAGGGUGCUCUCCAGACCACGGACCAGCCAUCAGUCUUGGAUUCUGAAAAAAUCCUACUCUCAAAUGGCAGCAUAUUUGCAGCACAAGAAUGAGAAUCUGAGAAUAAGAAGCCUUUCCUGGUUCCUGAGCCACAGCUUAUUGUCUUUAUGUGAUAUGGCUUCUCAAGGACAUAAAAAAAUUCCCUCAAACAAAAGCCAAUGGUUUAUUUAUAUAAAGUAGAGGCAAUGAGCUCAUGAAUGCAUGCAUUUGCUUAUUAUUCUUCCUCGCAGAGGAGAUGGAUGGAUGACUCUAUUUAUCUCUCUGUCUACACAUCUCUCUCUCUCCAUAUGCAAAGAAAAGUGGUUUAAGUUGAGGAAAUCAGUGAGGAAUGAUAGGAGGACUUGGUUGAGAUGUGGGAAACUGAAGACUUAGUCCCAGCCCUGCUUAUAGAAUGAACUUGGCAAGUCAUUAUCUGAGACUUCAUUUCCUCUACAAUGAGGGAGGAAGGCUGGGGGGACGUGCAGUCAGAGGCUCAAACUGUACAACUCUAUGGAGUGACCUUGACAGGCUGGGCUUUCUCGGAAGCUGACUCCAUGAAGGGGCUUAGCAGGAAGGCUGCUUAUUCAGGAGGAACUGAGGAGCAUCAUUGACUCUGGUAUAUAGCUUUAUGCAAUUUGAGGCAAUUUUUCCUGGUGACACUUUCCAACUCUGGACAAUAAGGUCUUCACUUAAGUGUUACAGGGCAAGAGAGGGACACCCCAGAACCCCCAAACCUGCCCAUUCUAAAUACGUUCUGCCGUCUGCCACACCAAGACAAAACAUACAAGACCUUUAAUGGAAAGUAACUUUAAUACAAUUAGUGUGCAGUACAGAAAAGACAAAGUAUAUAGUUUCCAAAUCAAGCACCUAAAGUUACCCAUGCCCUCAUGGGUGAAUGCCCAGCCAAACUGGGUUGAACCAAAGCAGGGCCACUGAGGCCCAAAAGUCUGCCACAAGUCUAAAGCACCUUCUGGUGGGGACCCAUAGAAAAGGGUCAGAAACAGCCAGACAAGUCUGGAGGAAAAGUGCAAAAUCAAAAUCAAGAUCAAUGCUGCCAUUG